GACGAACGCUGGCGGCGUGCCUAAUACAUGCAAGUCGAGCGAAGUUUUUCUGGUGCUUGCACCGGAAAAACUUAGCGGCGAACGGGUGAGUAACACGUAAAGAACCUGCCUCAUAGACUGGGACAACUAUUGGAAACGAUAGCUAAUACCGGAUAAUAGCAUUAACUGCAUGGUUGAUGUUUAAAAGUUGGUUUUGCUAACACUAUGAGAUGGCUUUGCGGUGCAUUAGCUAGUUGGUGGGGUAAAGGCCUACCAAGGCGACGAUGCAUAGCCGACCUGAGAGGGUGAUCGGCCACACUGGGACUGAGACACGGCCCAGACUCCGACGGGAGGCAGCAGUAGGGAAUCUUCCGCAAUGGGCGAAAGCCUGACGGAGCAACGCCGCGUGAGUGAAGAAGGAUUUCGGUUCGUAAAGCUCUGUUGUUAGGGAAGAAUGAUUGUGUAGUAACUAUACACAGUAGAGACGGUACCUAACCAGAAAGCCACGGCGAACUACGU
rnacentral:rRNA from 1 species